UACGUAGGUGGCAAGCGUUGUCCGGAAUUAUUGGGCGUAAAGCGCGCGCAGGCGGUCUUUUAAGUCUGAUGUGAAAUCUUGCGGCUCAACCGUGAGCGGUCAUUGGAAACUGGAAGACUUGAGUGCAGAAGAGGAGAGUGGAAUUCCACGUGUAGCGGUGAAAUGCGUAGAGAUGUGGAGGAACACCUGUGGCGAAGGCGCCUUGCUGGCCAAUUACUGACGCUGAGGCGCGAAAGCGUGGGGAGCAAACAGG
rnacentral:rRNA from 1 species